rnacentral:rRNA from 1 species
UACGUAGGUGGCAAGCGUUGUCCGGAAUCACUGGGCGUAAAGCGCGCGCAGGCGGCAAUCUACGUCUGGGGUGAAAGCCCGGGGCUCAACCUCGGGACUGCCUUGGAUACGGGAUUGCUUGAGGAUCGGAGAGGCAAGGGGAAUUCCACGUGUAGCGGUGAAAUGCGUAGAUAUGUGGAGGAACACCAGUGGCGAAGGCGCCUUGCUGGCCGAUUUCUGACGCUGAGGCGCGAAAGCGUGGGGAGCAAAC